rnacentral:lncRNA from 1 species
AUGCCGGAGGAGAGGGGGGGUGGAGUGGUGAGUGCCCGCGGAAGGGAGCGUGGGCGGCGCGGGGCACCGGGGGGCGCGGAGCCUCCGCCCCACCACAGGAGGCGGACAGGGAGGGAAGAAGGGUGCCCGGAGCGGAGCAGAGCGGUGAGUGCGGGCAGAGCGAGGGGUACGGGAAGCAGCGUUGCCUUCCCGCUGUGUCCUCGUACGCCCUCCCCGCGGGGAGCAUCAGCGCCCGGAGCUGCUCUACGAAACCGGGCCGGGGGACACGGUGACACAAGUCUGGCAGCGGAAAGGAACUCUCAAGUCAAGAGGGAGAUGAAUGUCUCUGCUGGCUCAUGGCUCUGACUGUGCUUGGGAUUCACUCCUUGCCACUGCGGGACAUAAUGCACUCAUCAAUUCCUCCUGAAUUCAUGACAUAUUUAAAUGCUUUCCAAGCAAACUGCUUUUGUAAGAU